rnacentral:rRNA from 1 species
UACGUAGGGUGCGAGCGUUUGUCCGGAAUUAUUGGGGCGUAAAAGAGCUUGUAGGCGGGUUUGUCGCGUCUGCUGUGAAAAUCUCAAGGCUCAACCUUGAGCUUGCAGUGGGGUACGGGGCAGACUAGAGUGUGGUAGGGGGAGACUGGAAUUCCUGGUGUAGCGGUGAAAAUGCGCAGAUAUCAGGGAGGGAAACACCCGAUGGGCGAAAGG